GAGUGGUGUUUGGUUUGUCACGUGUGGUUGGCUGCGGCGUUUGCAACAACUUCCAUGCUUUCAGACCUCUUCAGUUGUGCGGCAAGGCUUGUAUCGCCUUGUUCGUAAUGUGGGUUUUCUGUGUUGAAUACCUAAUCAAUGGUAUCGGUUGGAUUGAUCAAUGUUUCAUUUCGUCUCUCGUUGCAUUCGCGGCGUGAGACGAACCUUGAUGCGGUCUCUUUGGUCUACCUCGUCAAAGCACAUGCUUUGACGUUGUGGCACAUUGAGCAUUGCUUGGUCUCUUGUAUACGGAACAUACAGUGGGCAUGGAUCUAACGAUUCUUCUUUGCCCUCAUGUUAGCGUAACGCUUCUCUGACACGACUUGCUCCACGUUUUAGCUCGUACGGACGUGGUGCUAUGUCGAAGAGGAAUGCUACCUGGU
rnacentral:misc_RNA from 1 species